rfam:Chelonia mydas contig258332, whole genome shotgun sequence.
CCAAAGGCUCUUUUAAGAGCCACCCACUAUUUCCAGGAGAGAGCUGU